AUGGAACUCCCUGAAGGCACACUGCCAUUUGAAGUCCUCCCUCUUGAAGGAGAGCAAGACUGGCGUUUCGGUCGAGCAGCUGGCCCAGGCUCCACAGAGGAAGAUCUAGAACUAGGUGCUCCAGGCCUACCACGAGUAGCAGAGGUUGGUCUUUCCGGCAGCGACGUCCUCAGAUUUGGAGGCGCAUCAAGCGAGAAUCCGGGCAUUUCAGAUGGUUUCCAUGGUCUUGAUUUGACUGUAGGUGAGCUGCCCCUUGAAGGUGCUGGCGCCGUUGUUGUCGCUGCCGAUGCAGAGCUUUUGGGCAUUGUAGGUCCUGGUCUGGAGAUUGAGGAGGAUCGAACUGGUCCGGGCAAGUUACUGUGCUGGGUGUGGGUGGGAGGGGCAGAAGACCGCCUUGUUGGGGUUGAUGACCUUGAUGCAGGCUUGCUUUGUGCUGGUAAGGAGGGCCUUGACAAAGGUGUAGUUGACCUAGUAGCAGGCAUUGAUGAUCUUGAAGUAGGCGUUGAUGAUCUGCUAGCAGGUGCUGAUGCUCUACCUGAAGGAACUGAUGUCCUGGUAGCAGUAGCAGGGCCAGAUGUCCUGGUAGCAGCAGUAGGGCCAGAUGUCCUGGUAGCAGUAGCAGGGCCAGAUGUCCUUGAUGGAGUUGUUGACCUUGAUGAAGGCAGUGCUGACCUUGUUGAAGGAAGUGUUGACCUGGAAGUGGGCGUCGAAGAUCUUGGGGCAGUAGGUCCAGUCUUGGCAGGCAGAGUUGCCCGAGCAUUGGGGGAUGAAGGUCUUGAACCUUUGGACGCGGUGGUCGAUGCAGCACGUCCAGUUGGUGUUGAAGGUCUCGAAGAAUUAGACGUAGGCCCUCCAGAUGAUGUCGGCCGACGAGUUGUCGCAGCUGAGUUCAAGCUGUUUGAUGACGAUGUUCUCAGUGGAUGUGUGGUUCUUGAUGGAGGAUCUGGAUGA
rnacentral:rRNA from 1 species